CCCGUGCAGUUCAUCGAGCAUGAAUAGGAUAAGCAGGAAAGCGACAAUCAGACUUGGGAGUGAUGCCCCGCCUUAAAUUAUGAUUCGAAACCGAAAAUUGAUUAGUACCAUGCCUAUAAGGUGGCAAUCAAAGUAGGGAGUAGCUAUGGACCACAGCAUAGAGCUUCUGUGGUG
rnacentral:ncRNA from 1 species